rnacentral:rRNA from 1 species
UACGUAGGUGGCAAGCGUUUGUCCGGAUUUACUGGGCGUAAAGAGCGCGCAGGCGGUCGAUCAAGUCGCGUGUGAAAGCCCCCCGGCUCAACUGGGGAGGGUCACGCGAUACUGAUCGACUCGAAAGGCAGGAGAGGGUAGUGGAAUUCCCGGUGUAGUGGUGAAAUGCGUAGAUAUCGGGAGGAACACCGGUGGCGAAGG